GAUUAAUGGUGCUGUGCAAUGUUGAUUAUGGCUCUAACUAAAUGCCCCACCAUGCCUGUUUUUAAAUGACAAUGCAGGUAAGACGGAUCUUUUAUUUAUCUGCUUUAUAGAUCAUGAAAUUAAGAUAUUACGUAUGUAAAGCAACUCUUAAUUAUUAUUUUUUUCCAUUUUGUGUCUUUCUUGUUAUAUAUCUUCAUUCACACAAAGUGCAUUAUAGUUAUAAAUAAAAAAGUUUUAAAGGGAAUCACUUUCAAUAUGCACAAGAGAGAGACAAAGAAAAAUAAAAAAUAAAACCUAUGUGUUCAGGAUGGAUGUGAUUCAAAUUGUUCAUUCUGUCUAUUUGUCUGUUGAGCUACAUUUUAGUCCUGGGUUGUCAUGUGUACAGAAUCAGUAAUGGUAUGAUUACCAGACAAGGUAAUGCAUAAAUAGGUGAAUAAAUUGCAAAGGGCAUGAUGUAACAACCAUUAUAAAAGCUUACUUUAUCCAAGGAUUCGAACGAUAAUGCAUCCGCACACAUGAGUUAUCACUGAAAUUACAGCAAGUAUGUUUUAAUCAUGAAUGUUCCCGGUGGCAUUAUGCUAAUAAAAUACUAAAUGUCCCAGAAUCAAAUUAUUUUUAGUUGUUUUUCCAGCAUGUAAAGUGGCUUUUUCAGAAAACUAUGACCUACAUGUGUUAGCAAUUCAGAUAAUGGCUAGCUAUAGAGCUCUUAAGAAUUUCCAGCAUCUUCAGUGUUUGCGAAUUGCAAUAAACCAGGACAUUCACCAAAAUAGCAUUUAAGGUCAUUCAGCCACACGAUCUCUGCAGAAAAUAUGUAUCUAUAAGAAUAUAUAUUCAAUAACUGCUAUUCACAUACACAGUAUGUAUGUGUAUAUAUAUAUAUAUAUAUAUAUAUAUAUAUAUAUAUAUAUAUAUAUACGUAAUACUGUUAUUAUUUUGCUUUAGGUUAUUCGUGAUUAUUACCUUGCAUCACUAUUUUCUAAAGUAAAAAAGAAACUAAACAAAAAUAUAUAUUUUUACAAUAUUAUUGGUUUGUGAUAAAUUGAUUGAAUUAACCUAUGAUUAGGAAUCUUUUAGCUAUGAGUUAGAUGAGGUAUAAGCACCGUAAGAUACUCCAACUGCUGUGGUCUACACUUCUCAUGAUGCUUAGCUUGCUGUCUGACAUAGUGGGAAUUGUUGUUUGCAGCUGUAGGAGUGCAGAAAACAGCUCUCUAGAGAAGGAGAUAAAUACAGUAUUUUUUAAAAUAUUUUUUCAAUGUUUUUAAUUGAGGGCUCAACAUUGUAGUACUAAACUAUUGCAGUGUUAUGUAACAUUGCAGUGAAAGAAAAGGUAAAAGAGCCAAGAAUGCAAAUUAGGGUACAAACUAAAAUUAGUCAUAAAAGGACAAGAACGGAAAACUGUGAUUGCUUCAAUAAUACACCCGUUUAGGACAAUAUUGGAACAGAAUCAAUGCAUCAGAAGAAGUUAACCCAUUUUAAAUUAAGGAGGAAAUGAGGUUCUAAGUACUGAACCUUGAGGAUAAGAACAGUAAGGAAAUAAAGAGGUGAAAUGCUUGGGUAGGGGUUAUUGUAGCACACUGUUGAAUUUUUGAGUUCUACAGAGAGAAGCAAGUUUAAAUGGACACUACAUCAAGACUUUAUGGUGCUUGCACUCGGAGCAAAAAAACUAAUGUUGGAGAGAGUUCAGUUUUAGUUAUGGCAGCAUUUAUUUGUAAUUAUUGUAUCAAAUCAGGCAAUCUAAAACAUAUAGUUCCUGAUUGCCAAUAUAAAUUUAAACACCAUUUUUUGUGCAGCAUCUGCAUGCAGCGUGACCAAUAGAGAAGGCUCUCUUAUGCCUUCCCUGCCAUGGAGCUCAGCUAAAGACUAUUCAUUAUAUAGCUGCUAUUAUUUUACUGAGCGGUUACAGUCAUCAUUUGUGUUAAUUAGAACCUAUAGAGCCAGACUUGCAACCUUUGCAUUACAAGCUUAGUUCUCCACCUCUAGCCUAAGCGGUAAUGUGCAACACCCUGCUGGAAAUUAAAUGAGUCAUUUCAGAAACCACCUCUAGAAGUAUAAUGAGCAUGUCAAAGAGGCACUCAGACUGGACAGAUUUUACAAACAACCUACACAUACCCAGCUGCUCUCCACGGCUUAUUCAGAUAGCCAUACUUUGUUACUAGUGAGUCAGCCUGUGCUGUAGUGGGGCAAGGGGAUGGAAAACUAUAGCAAUGCUGUACUAUAUAAGGGCAAUUUGCAAGUUAUCCCUUUUACCAAGGGGAAACAAUGUCAGUAGUUCAUUUCAUAAUGGCGAUAGAUUUAUUUUUAUGCGAUAACAAUUAGCUGAUGGAGCACUGCCCUGAAUAUCAUAAUGGACAAGCCACUCCUGGAUAAAACUAAUUUGAGAUGAUAGACUACUUAUCUCAUAAGCUUUUACAUGACAAGGGAUGGGAAGAGAUUAAUCCUAUACUCUCUCAUAUAUAUAUAUAUAUAUAUAUAUAUAUAUAAUAUAUCCCAUAUAUGGCAGUGAUUUUUAACCCCUUAAGGACUGUGGACAUACUAGUUACGUCUGACAAAAAAAAGUCCGUACCACAGCGUGAUUGCUUCCAGCAUCUCUAAGGGUAUUGUAGCAAUGCCUCGAUGUCGAGGCAUCCUGCAAUACCUCUCCUAACUGACGGGCCUCCGAGGAGUCCCUCGAGGGGUCGAGGCACUCAGUGAAGACUUAAAUAAAAUCAAUUUAAAAAACCAAAUAAAAUAAACGUAUUAAUCUCCCCCCUCCCCCCAGCCAUGUGGCAUCCAGUAUGGCCCUGCCUUUCUAAAGGCAGUGCAUCAUGGGGCUUCCUGAGUUUGUUUGUUUUUUACUUUUACCACGCCAAACUAUUUUUAUGAUCAAGUUCAACGAUGCAUGGGAGCAUGAGUGUACUCAGGAGGCCUUGCAGAAAACAACCUGGAAUGUUUUAUUGCAAUAACCAACAACAGGCUCCCCUAAAUCACACACAAAUGUGUGUGUAAAAAUUAAAAUUUAAAGAUUACCACCACACAUUUUCUCCAUUUUUUUUGGCUAAAAUGGUUGCAUCAAAACACUCCAUAUACAAUACCUUGGGGUGUCAACUUUUCAAAUAUAUGCACGCUCAUGGCAAGAAAAUAAAUUGGGAUAUGUAAAAAGCCCCCCCAAAUAAAUAAAUAAAUAGGCAAAGAAGAUAUGUCAUAGUUGAAAAACACGUCAGAAGUUUGGCAUUGCAUUCCCCAAACAACCCAACAAACCUAUGCAUAGGUGGUAUCACUGUACUCAGGAGAUGUUGCUGUACACAUAUUGGGGUGCUCUUUGGCAGUGACCCUAAAAGUUCUCAGUAGAUGUAUUAAUUAAAUUGCUAUCUGUGUAAAAAAAAAAAAAAAAAUCACCAACUAUUUUUUUUUCUAAAUUUGGCAUAGAGUGAUGGUAAAAUGGUUCCAUGAAAAGAGUCAAAAUACCUCAAGUAUAAUACCUUAGAUUGUCGUCUUUUAAAAAAUAUAUACAUGUGAAGGGUUAUUCUGGGAUUCUUGACAGAUAUCAGGGUUUCAAUGUAACAUUCAUUAAUUUUGAAAUAAAAAUGUAUUGUGCUACUUGUACUUAUUCCCCUAUAACUUGCAAAAAAAAAAAGAAGCUAAGAACAUGUUAACAUUGGCUAUUUCUAAACUCAGGACAAAAUUUAGAAACUAUUUAGCAUGGGUGUUUUUUGGCGGUUGUAGAUGCAUAACAGGUUUUGGGGGUCAAAGUUAGAAAAAGUGUGUUUUUUUCAUCAUAUUUUAUAAUUUUUUAAAAGUAAAUUAUAUGAUGAAAAAAUUGUAUCUUUAGAAAGAUAAUAUGUGUGGGUACAUUACAUGAGUAAGAAAAUUGAAAAACGGUCUGGUCACUAAGGUGUUAAUGUGUCUGUAUAGUACAUUAAUAAAUAUAUAGUCAGAUUUUAUGUAAACAAUCCUGUAUACAUAAAUAUAUGGCCAUCCAGCUUUAACUUGAAUGUCAUCUAAACAUUGAGGUAAAGCCAAGCAUGGUGGCUGGCUUGUCCUGGACUUGGCUUUAUGUAACAUAUAAAAUGUAUGUUUUUUAUAUUUAAUAUUUUUUGUAAGUUAUACAAUACAGACCAUCCUAAUAUAACACCCAUAACUGCUGGCUUGGCCCAGGGCCGUCUUUCCCCAUGCGUAUGCUGUGCACAAGCAUGGGGGCCCCACUGCGAUGAAAAAACACAACAAGAAUAAAAUAUUUGCUCCAUGCAUCCCUCACACACCACUAACCCCCCACCCCCCACACACAGUGCCCUCACACACCACGCACCCCUAACAAACACACACACACACCACCUCUCACAUACAGCACAUCUCUCUCACCCACACCACUUACAUACAGCACCCCAACACACACUCACAGAACACACACCGCACCUCUCACUCACACACAGACAACACCUCUCUCACACACACACACAACACCCCUCACACACACACACACACCGCACCCCCCCACACACACACAGCACCCCUCACACACACAGCACCUCUUUUGUGUGUGUGUAUUCAGCAGACUGUGUAUGUAUUUAGCAGUCUGUCUUUGUAUACUCAGCAGUCUGUGUGUGUAUUCAGCAGUCUGUUUGUGAGAAUGUGUUCAGCAGUCUGUGUGUGAGAAUGUGCUAAUAUAAGAUUAAUUUUAGCGAUAAUUUACAUUUUUAUCCCUGUUAGUUGUUGUGUAGGCAGGGCCCAGUGCACUCCUUUGCCCGGGGGCCCAUAAUGCUGUUAAGAUGGCACUGGUUUGGUCUGGACUUGACUUUCUGCAAUAUUAAUAAAAUGAUGUAUGUUUAUUUAUUUAAUACAUAUAUUAUAUAUAUAAAAUAUACAAUACAGCACAUAAAAAACAUCAUGCCAGUGAAAGGAAACUAAAAAGAAAAUAAAUUAUAUGCAUCGAAAAGAAACCCAUUUUGUACACGUAUAACCCAAGUUCCUGCAAUUAACAAACAGAACCCAAUUAAUAGAGAUUCAUGUAAGAUAAAGUAGCUAUCAAGAGGGUUUAACUGUGCUUAGAGAAAAAAGGAUGCCCUUGGCAUUUAAUAAUAGGCUCUAUGAGGAUUAACUACUCCUGCCAAAGGCAGCAGCAGGGAGGUGAGUAUUUUAAAAACUAGGGAAACAUGAAAAUGCAUUGAUACAGAUGCCUAGGUAUAGUGUCACAAUAGGCAGUGUUUGUAGGUUAAUGACAUAAUCUAAUCAACACAAUAAAAAAUAAUGUCUAUAGUGUUAUGUCAGACACUACUGUGUGAAGACACUGCUCAACACGGUUGACAUUAAGGGAUCAGUGUUGCUUUCUUGGGAAAUGACAGUUCCACUUUAAUAUUGUGAAUAUUCACUGCAAUGCAAGACAUAUUUACUGCUAUAUAUGAUGUACACAAAUAGAAAUAAUCAUAUUGUAACUCUCGUGUGUUUUUCUCUGCUGUGAACAGGUGACACAGCUGGACGUGGAUGUACUAGUUGGCACAUCUGUGAAUCUAUGGGUUUGCAACAAAUUUUACUGAUUUAAAUAGUCCAGGAAUCCAAGAAGACUGCAUUGUGGCAAAAAACUGUUCUGUGAACUGUUUUGAUUCCAUUCAAAGCUCACAGAAUAUUGUGCCAUUUGUUUCAUUCUCACAGAGAAAAAAAAAAAAAAACAUUAUUGUUUCAGGAAAUCUAUGUGUUACAUACAUCAUACUGCCAGUAGUCUAAGUGAUAAAUUAAGAUUUCUCUAGCAUCAUCUAAUUAAGAAUUACUGUGACUAUAAUUAACAGAUUAUGUGCGCAGAAUAUGGGUAGGGAGGAGCUCUGUGAUGAUCUAGAGGGCAUCUCAAGUGACAUAGGGUGACAGCAUACACAGUGUCUGUAAAUGUGUGAAGCCACAGGAAACUAUGUUUAAUUAAAAACACUAUGUGUAUCCAACCUGUUUCUAAGGACUCAGUCUGGUGAACUAUGGUUAAGUUAGUAAAUACUGCUUAUUGACUUAAGACACUUUAUUAAUCUGGGUUUGCAAGUGUAUGUUUGUGGUACAGAGAUAUGUCAACAUUUUAAAGGAUCUUCAGGUAUACUGGAAAAUUCUCCAUUAUUCCAGGUUUAUUGAAAGAAAAGCAGUGUUCUUAGUUUAUUUGGACUAUUAUUGAACAUAAAAUUAUGCCUCUCGCAUAUUAGAUGAACUGGUUUAGUGAACUGGUUUGGUGUAUAAAGAAAAAACGAUUAUAAAUAGGAUGGUGCAAAUGGGAGAAGGAUCUUAGUACAUGCAGCAACCAACAAAAACAAAUCCUGGCAAAACGAUUUGAACAUAAAAUAACUUACAGUAGUGAUGGUGCGCAACAACAAAAAUCAUAUUCACUAUGGACCUCUUAUAGAGAGUGAAAGUACCCCUGUGUACAUGAAAUGAGGUGUAUACAGAGUGGAAAUAUUAUUAGUAAUUGAAACACAAACAGUGGUUGUGGUAAAACAAAGCACAAUCUGUAGGUAUAUUUGCAAACAUGGAAAUCACUCUGACACCUAUUAAGGAGACAAAAACAGAAAGAGAGCUCAUAGUGCAGCAUAGUAAUUCACUUAUAUAUAUAUAUAAAAUAAAGCAAACAGAGGUGCCCUUAAGGUAUUACACUCACAAGACUGGAGUGGUAAAAGCACCACUCGUUGCUAUAGCACUCAGGGAGGAUCAGCCCCUAGAGUGCGUGGGAUACGUGGAAAAGAAGCUUGCAAUCUGGAUCUCAGGUAAGUAUACUUUAUUAAUAGCAAUUUAAAAACAGCAAAACUUGUUGUGGAGGUAGUUAGUCCGCUCACCAGCCUCAGGAAACCGCAAAGAAAGUUCCAUAUACUCAUGCAAUGUGAAAAAUCCUCCGGCUGCUGUCCUGGCUGCUGUUGCCGACUGUCUCCAAAUCACUUCCUGGUUCCGGGUCCGUAAUGCAUUUUGCCCCACCAACAGGGCUUUGUCAAACUGCUGAUGCUUCCUCCCACUGUCCUGUGUCUUAUAUACACACCAGUCCAUGCUACCAAUCAUUUUAAAAUCAAUACAAACUUUCAGAAACCUGAUUAAGGGUAGUAUUAGUGAAAAAUGGGAGUUUUAUAUCUCCCGAAUGCCCCUACUCGCUAUACCACGAGUAGGGGAAUGUCUACUAAACAGUGAGCAGCCUAAAAAUAAGCUCCCCACACCCCCCCCAAAUCAAUUAAUGGGGGACCUAGUAAUCAUGCCCCUACUCACGGUAUAGUGAGUAGGGGCAUUCAGGAGAUUUUAAUCUCCCUCAUAUGGCCAGAUGACGUUCCCCAGAGACUUCAUCCCCCACACAAAGAUAGCGGCGCACAGGACCUAAGUCCGGGCAUAAAAUAAAGUUAUUAAAAAAGUAAAUUGGGAGGACUAGGGGUUUUUGGGUGCACUAUAAAAUGCAAUGGAGUUGGAAGGGGGGAGUUAAAAAAACAAACAAAAACUGAUUCAACCAUGACAGUGCUGCUUUAAAUGGCUUCGAUUAUAUAGGGUCGAUUCACAAUAUUGUUUCUAUUGUCAAAUUGCACAACAUACAACAGAAAACCUAGCUCCUGGACUGAAGUUGGUGUCAAUAUCAGUUCAAAUGUUGUGUAUGGGGAGGGAGUGUGUUAGAAAAAAAGAACUUGCACGGAUUGUCAUAGAAUCAAGUGAUUUGCUUAACCCUUGUUAGGAAAGGGUUAAAUAAUGUUUCUUCAGCCCAUUUAUUUAGUUGAUCAAGGUUUAAUACUGAGCUCCAGCACCGUAUGCGUAAUGGAUACCAUGCAUUAUAUUAGAUGUCACUGUACAUCUCAUGCCUCUUUCAAAUAUCUAAGAUUUUGAUCAAUAUUAUAAUUUGCUGCAUCUUUGCUGUCAACCACUGGCUCAGCUGGUAAACCUAUAAUUAAUAGACACUAGAGUGACCCCAUGCUUGGUCUCCUGGUACAGUUAUUGGUAACCUUUAUCAGGGUUCACACAGCCCCAUGGUAUUCAUUUCCUUGAUUUUCUGUGCUAUGAACAACAUUUUCUAUGCCAAAUAAUUUCUUUCUCCUGUUUAUUUUACAGCAUUGUUACAAUUAGAAAGAAAUUGAAUCAGAGCCUGCCCUCCCUGCAGUGGAGGAUUUUAACACACAGCAUGUAUUCCUAUGAGCUGGAUACACAGUAUCGUAACUGCUUUGAGUUUGCAAGAUUUCAUGCUUUGCCAAAAAGUAGA
rnacentral:lncRNA from 1 species